GAUUUUGUUUGGAGACGUCGGAGAUUGAGUAUCAUAUGGAUGGGGAACGCCUCAAUCCCAAUUCCAUCAGGAAGGCAGUCAUGGAUGAGAAUCAGGAUCACAGCAAGACUUUGCAGCCAAGGAAUUAGCUGUGGCAUUGCCAAGCAGCUGUGUAUCCUCCACGGACUCUAGAACAAGCUAUAAAGGAAAAAGCUGAUAACACAGUCAAGAGUCUCUUUGCCUAAAGCCAUGCCUUCUCAGUUCAGACUGGAGUAUCCUUCAGAAACAGGAAUAGAAGUUGUGUAGUUGUGUACUGUCUGCAGCACUAGAGGAUAAACUGUUUUCAUUAGAAUUUGUUUUCCUUCAUUCUUACACCACAAAAUGUCUUUAUCCAUCUGUCCCUAUAUUAA